rnacentral:rRNA from 1 species
UACGAAGGGGGCUAGCGUUGCUCGGAAUCACUGGGCGUAAAGCGCACGUAGGCGGAUCUUUAAGUCAGGGGUGAAAUCCCGAGGCUCAACCUCGGAACUGCCUUUGAUACUGGGGAUCUCGAGUCCGGAAGAGGUUGGUGGAACUCCGAGUGUAGAGGUGAAAUUCGUAGAUAUUCGCAAGAACACCAGUGGCGAAGGCGGCCAACUGGUCCGGAACUGACGCUGAGGUGCGAAAGCGUGGGGAGCAAACAGGG